rnacentral:rRNA from 1 species
UACGUAGGCAGCAAGCGUUGUUCGGAGUUACUGGGCGUAAAGGGUGUGUAGGCGGUUUUUUAAGUUUGGUGUGAAAUCUCCCGGCUCAACUGGGAGGGUGCGCCGAAUACUGAAAGACUAGAGUGCGGGAGAGGAAAGUGGAAUUCCUGGUGUAGCGGUGAAAUGCGUAGAUAUCUGGAGGAACACCGGUGGCGAAGGCGGCAUCCUGGACCGGCAUUGACGCUGAGGCGCGAAAGCCAGGGGAGCAAACGGG